rnacentral:rRNA from 1 species
CACGUAGGGACCAAGCGUUGUCCGGAUUCAUUGGGCGUAAAGAGCUCGUAGGCGGUUCGAUAAGUCGGGUGUGAAACCUCCAGGCUCAACCUGGAGACGCCACCCGAUACUGUCGUGACUAGAGUCCAGUAGGGAGCGUGGAAUUCCUGGUGUAGCGGUGAAAUGCGCAGAUAUCAGGAGGAACACCAGCGGCGAAGGGCGGCGCUCUGGGCUGGAACUGACGCUGAGGAGCGAAAGCAUGGGGAGCGAACAGG